UACGAAGGGGGCUAGCGUUGUUCGGAAUCACUGGGCGUAAAGGGCGCGUAGGCGGCUGUUCAAGUCGGGGGUGAAAUCCCGUGGCUCAACCACGGAAUGGCCUUCGAUACUGGACGGCUCGAGACCGGAAGAGGUGAGUGGAACUGCGAGUGUAGAGGUGAAAUUCGUAGAUAUUCGCAAGAACACCAGUGGCGAAGGCGGCUCACUGGCCCGAUACUGACGCUGAGGCACGAAAGCGUGGGGAGCAAACAGG
rnacentral:rRNA from 1 species